AAUUCCAAAUUGAUCAGCAAGAUCGUCCAUUGUCAAGUACAACUGGUUUGACACUUUCCCACAAGGAUUCUUGGUACGAAGCAUAAAUGAAUACGACCUCUGGCCACGAUCUUCUCUGUUGUAUUGCUGAUAGCUCCCAUGGAAUUUGAUCAAUUGUGUGGCAGCCUCAUUUAUGUUAGGGGCAUCCGUCAACAACUCCUCAUUAAGAGGGUAUCUUAUAUAAUUACUAUGUUCUUUGAAAAUUUCGACCUUACUACGUUUUGGCUCAGCCGCAAUCCCCGGCUUCGCUGGCGUGGAGACGGCUCGAACGAGCAGAGGGCGGGAAGAGGAGGAGGAGGAGGGGGAGGAAGAAGGGGAAGCAGAAGGGGCGAAGAAGCGGACAUGUCUGGCCAAAGCAAGGGAAGUGGUGGAUUUAAGGCCAUGGAAGGUAGGAAUCUGGACCGUGGGAUCGGUGAAGACGGCGGAGUUGGAGGCGGCGAAGGACGACGGCGUGGUCAUGGGAGGAGGGAUUAGGGUAGUGGGUAAUUGGAGAAAUGUGCAGUGAGUGAGUGAAGA
rnacentral:misc_RNA from 1 species